UUUUUACUAAUAGUUAGGUGUAUUUUUAAUCUUUCGAAAAUGUCACUUUAUUAAGUUUAGUAUGUACAUUUAAAAAAAAAAGUUCAGUAAAGAGUUAGAUCAAGAAAUAUAGUAAUAAAAUAUAUCCAUAAGUGUUUUUAAUGAGUUAGAAUAUAUAAUUUUUAAUAAAUAAUAUAUUAAGAGAUUGUACUGCUAACACUUUUUAAUGAAUAUAGGACACGUGGUGACUUUUU
rnacentral:lncRNA from 1 species